rnacentral:rRNA from 1 species
UACGGAGGGUGCAAGCGUUAUCCGGAUUCACUGGGUUUAAAGGGUGCGUAGGUGGGUUGAUAAGUCAGUGGUGAAAUCCCCGAGCUUAACUUGGGAACUGCCAUUGAUACUAUUGAUCUUGAAUCUUCCGGAGGUCAGCGGAAUAUGUCAUGUAGCGGUGAAAUGCUUAGAUAUGACAUAGAACACCGAAUUGCGAAGGCAGCUCACUACACGGACAUUGACACUGAGGCACGAAAGCGUGGGGAGCAAACAGG